rnacentral:rRNA from 1 species
CCUACGGGUGGCAGCAGUGGGGAAUAUUGGACAAUGGGGGGAACCCUGAUCCAGCCAUGCCGCGUGUGUGAAGAAGGCCCUCGGGUUGUAAAGCACUUUCAGUGAGGAAGAACGCCUGGUGGUUAAUACCCAUCAGGAAAGACAUCACUCACAGAAGAAGCACCGGCUAACUCCGUGCCAGCAGCCGCGGUAAUACGGAGGGUGCGAGCGUUAAUCGGAAUUACUGGGCGUAAAGCGCGCGUAGGUGGCUUGAUAAGCCGGUUGUGAAAGCCCCGGGCUCAACCUGGGAACGGCAUCCGGAACUGCCAAGCUAGAGUGCAGGAGAGGAAGGUAGAAUUCCCGGUGUAGCGGUGAAAUGCGUAGAGAUCGGGAGGAAUACCAGUGGCGAAGGCGGCCUUCUGGACUGACACUGACACUGAGGUGCGAAAGCGUGGGUAGCAAACAGGAUUAGAUACCCCUGUAGUC